AGCCCCUGGCGUUCUCAUGUAGUAGCUUGGGUCAGUGUUCUGGUGGUUGUAUUCAUACUUGUAUGUGGCGUCUUUAUUUGGCGUUACAGGAAAGGUAAAUCAGGAAACUUAAAGAUCUGCGAGUCGGGUUGGGAGGAAAAACCAAAACAAAAGAAAGAAGGUGGAAUGCUGCUCCCACAACCAGUUGUCCAAGUUGAAGACGAGUCCAUGUCUCAGGACCUGUUACCUUCGCAAGAAGAAUCAAGAGGAACACCCGAAGAAAAUGAUGACGAGUCGGGCUUAGAAAUUCCCUCAGACAUCGCUUUCACUGAUAACGGAAACUACGUGGCACAGGAAGAUGGAAAAAAAGAAGUUCUCUCUCGGCAGGAAUCGCAAACACAGACAUUUUCUGAGUACAAAUGUGACUGCUAAUGUCUGCAUUCCACUGUUAUAAUAUUAUCUGACGUUUGCAUGACUUUCACUAGUAGCAAAAGGUGUGUAAAUAUUUGCUUUAAGUCGACAUUACAACGAACAAUGUGCUGAAAAUCUGUAGAUAUAGACUAGAACAUUGUGUACGACUGUGACGGGAAAUAAUACCAUUUAACUCUUAUUAAAUUAUUUGUUUAUGUACAGUAAUUUGUUUUUGCAUGUAUUGAUGUACAAACGCAUGGGGUAAAAAUAUGUACAGUCAUUGAAUGUGCUGCAUGUAAUUUAAAAGUUCAGGUUGAAUGUAUGUGUAUAAAAUGUUG